rnacentral:rRNA from 1 species
AGCGCAGACGGUUAUUUAAGCAAGAUGUGAAAGCCCCGGGCUCAACCUGGGAACUGCGUUUUGAACUGGGUAGCUAGAGUGUGUCAGAGGGGGGUAGAAUUCCACGUGUAGCAGUGAAAUGCGUAGAGAUGUGGAGGAAUACCGAUGGCGAAGGCAGCCCCCUGGGAUAACACUGACGUUCAUGCUCGAAAGCGUGGUAGCAAACA